rnacentral:rRNA from 1 species
AUUGAACGCUGGCGGCAGGCCUAACACAUGCAAGUCGAACGAGUGGCGGACGGGUGUGUAAUGUCUGGGAAACUGCCCGAUGGAGGGGGAUAACUACUGGAAACGGUAGCUAAUACCGCAUACCAUCGGAUGUGCCUAGAUGGGAUUGGCUUGUAGGUGGGGUAACGGCUCACCUAGGCGACGAUCCCUAUCGGGUCUGAGAGGAUGACCAGCCAACCUGGAACGGGGACACGGUCCAUACUCCUACGGGAGGCAGCGGUGGGGAAUAUUGCACAAUGGGCGCAAGCCUGAUGCAGCCAUGCCGCGUGUAUGAAGAAGGCCUUCGGGUUGUAAAGUACUUUCAGCGGGGAGGCGUUACUCGCAGAAGAAGCACCGGCUAACUCCGUGCCAGCAGCCGCGGUAAUAC